GAUGAACGCUGGCGGCGUGCUUAACACAUGCAAGUCGAACGGAAAGGCCCCAGCUUGCUGGGGUACUCGAGUGGCGAACGGGUGAGUAACACGUGGGUGAUCUGCCCUGCACUUUGGGAUAAGCUUGGGAAACUGGGUCUAAUACCGAAUAUGACCACUUCUUGGAUGUUGUGGUGGAAAGCCUUUGCGGUGUGGGAUGAGCCUGCGGCCUAUCAGCUUGUUGGUGGGGUAAUGGCCUACCAAGGCGGCGACGGGUAGCCGGCCUGAGAGGGUGUACGGACGCAUUGGGACUGAGAUACGGCCCAGACUCCUACGGGAGGCAGCAGUGGGGAAUAUUGCACAAUGGGCGCAAGCCUGAUGCAGCGACGCCGCGUGGGGGAUGAAGGCCUUCGGGUUGUAAACUCCUUUCGCUAUCGACGAAGCCACUUGUGGUGACGGUAGGUAGAUAAGAAGCACCGGCUAACUACGUGCCAGCCGCCGCAGUAA
rnacentral:rRNA from 1 species